UCCGCGUUGAUCCUGCCGGAGGUCACUGCUAUUGGAGUUCGAUUAAGCCAUGCGAGUCACGGGGACUUCGGUCACCGGCGUACUGCUCAGUAACACGUGGAUAAUCUGUCCUUAGGUGGGGCACAGCCUCGGGAAACUGAGGGUAAUUCCCCAUAGGUCAUAAGUGCUGGAAUGCCUUUUAACUUAAAGCUCCGGCGCCUAAGGGUGAGUCUGCGGCCUAUCAGGUUGUAGUAGGUGUAACGUACCUACUAGCCAGCGACGGGUACGGGUCGUGAGAGCGAUUGCCCGGAGAUGGAUUCUGAGACAUGAAUCCAGGCCCUACGGGGCGCAGCAGGCGCGAAAACUUCGCAAUGUGGGAAACCACGACGAGGGAACUCCAAGUGCCAGCACAUUGUGCUGGCUUUUCUCAUACCUAAAAAGUAUGGGGAAUAAGGGCUGGGUAAGACGGGUGCCAGCCGCCGCGGUAAUACCCGCAGCCCAAGUGGUGAUCGUUAUUAUUGGGCUUAAAACGUCCGUAGCCUGUCUGGUAAAUCCCUGGGUAAAUCGACUGGCUUAACCAGUCGAAUUCUGGAGAGACUGCCAGACUUGGGACCGGGUGAGGGUGGAGGUACUUCAGGGGGAGGGGUGAAAUCCUUUAAUCCUUGAAGGACCACCAGUGGCGAAAGCGUCCACCUAGAACGGCUCCGACGGUAAGGGACGAAACCCUGGGGCGCAAACGGGAUUAGAUA
rnacentral:rRNA from 1 species